rnacentral:lncRNA from 1 species
UUAGGUGACAGGCUAGGUGACAGACUAGUCUCCCCCCAGGUGACAGGCUAAUCUUUUUUUUUUUUUUUUUUUUUUUUUUUUUUUUUUUUUUUUCAGUGUGACAGGUUAGUCUCCCCCAUAGGUGACAGGUUAGGUGACAGGUUAGGUGACAGGCUUAGUCUCCCCCAUAGGUUGACAGGUUAGUCUCCCCCACGGGUGACAGGCUAGUCUCCCCCACAGGUGACAGGUUAGGUGACAGGCUAGUCUCCCCCAUAGGUGACAGGCUAGUCUCCCCCACGGGUGACAGGUUAGUCUCCCCCAUAGGUGACAGGCUAGUCUCCCCCACAGGUGACAGGUUAGGUGACAGGCUAGUCUCCCCCAUAUGUGACAGGUUAGUCUCCCCCACGGGUGACAGGCUAGUCUCCCCCACGGGUGACAGGCUAGUCUCCCCCACAGGUGACAGGUUAGUCUCCCCCAUAGGUGACAGGCUAGUCUCCCCCACAGGUGACAGUUAGUCUCCCCCAUAGGUGACAGGCUAGUCUCCCCCACAGGUGACAGGUUAGGUGACAGGCUAGUCUCCCCCACAGGUGACAGGUUAGUUCUCCCCCCACGGGGACAGGCUAGUCUCCCCCACGGUGGACAGGCUAGU